rnacentral:rRNA from 1 species
UACGUAGGGCGCAAGCGUUAUCCGGAAUUAUUGGGCGUAAAGAGCUCGUAGGCGGUUUGUCGCGUCUGCCGUGAAAGUCCGGGGCUCAACUCCGGAUCUGCGGUGGGUACGGGCAGACUAGAGUGAUGUAGGGGAGACUGGAAUUCCUGGUGUAGCGGUGAAAUGCGCAGAUAUCAGGAAGAACACCGAUGGCGAAGGCAGUUCUCUGGGCCGUAACUGACGCUGAGGAGCGAAAGCGUGGGGAGCGAACAGG